AUCUGUACAGCAUUGUUACGUCAUCACUGAUAAACGUUGAAACUGAUGAGAAACCGGGAGCAGUUCAGUCUGAUUCUCGCUAGUCCUGGAGGAGCGUUCAUUUUGGCAAGGAAAUGUGCUGAUUUUGCAAGGACGUGAGAAGAAAGAGUUCAAGAUCUGAUAAAGAUCACAGAGAGGUUGAGAGACAGACCAAGUUGGAAGAGGCUGUUCUAGAGACAGAUAUCCCAACUCUGUCACUAGAGGCUGAAGGAGAGAUUGAGAUGCAGGAAGCUGAUCUGAAGACAGAUGGCACAUCUCAGUCACAGGAGGUUGAAGGAGAGAGUGAGUUGGACGAGGCCAUUGUCAUCCCAUCUCAGUCACAGGAGGAGGCCAAAGGAGAGAGUGAGUUGAAUCAGGUUGAUCUGA